rnacentral:lncRNA from 1 species
GAAUCUUCUUGCUGAUCUACCUGCUGCCACACAUUUCUUUUUCAGUCACUGCAAAUAUCUUGGAUUUCCCCUUUUCUUACUACACAAUGACAGAUUGCCCUGAACACGGACAAGAGAGCCAGUUAAACGGUUCACUUCUUGAUGCUGGGAGCAUAGGAAGCUAAUGAACAUCCUGUUCUUCAUAUGUUAAAUACCUGUGAAACAAUGGAAAUAUAGGUUGUUUUUCGCCUCAGCUGUAGAGCUGCUAAUAUCUGACUACUAUGCAUGGAGUGGGGAGACUCAUUCCUUAUAAUCCAACAAAUCCACAUCCCAUUUUAAAUUUAGCAGCAAGUGUAUCUGAAAGGAGCAAUGUUCCCUCUGCUUUUACCAAGGAAGAAGAGUAACUGCAGGUAGUGGCAGUGCUGUGAAAUCUGAGAUUUGUCCUAAGGUCAGGAGUGUGGAAGGAGCAGGGGUUCUGAUCACAACUGAUCUGCAUCUUCUGAGACAUUAUUAUCAUCCUGAACUAAACAAAAGAGUAAGUGCUCUUAAGAAAACUGAAGUUGACAGAGAAAAGGGGCUGAGCCAUGAUGAUUAUAUCCAGAUGGAGAUGCCCCUUACUCACUGGAUUCAUGGAAUACCACUCGCAGGAGAUGCAGCUGGUUCUGCUCCACCCUAAACACACACAGCCAGGAGGAGUAAGGGCUAAACAUUCCUCUCCCAAAAACAAAGCCCCAACUCAGCUGAAGGCAGAGUCCCUGCCUCAGGGAUGUCAUCACAAUCUGGUCCGUGCUUUGUACGGUGGCAAACCCGGCAUGGGGAUGGCGGCAGCAGGCAUUUUCCCUGAGCUCCUCUGUGUCUGUUCCCACAGGAGCCUGGCAUGGGGACCACACACAGGCGCCGAGGUCAGGAGGAACGGGUCCAGAAGCAGGGGUAUGUCUGGGGGCUGAGAGGCUGCGGCAGGUGAGGUUUGACUCCGAAGGGCACUUUGGGAACGCACCUCCGCUGGCAGGGUGACGGCACUGGGUUAGAAUAGGCAUUUGUAAGCUGAGAAAAUCGAGACAAGAUGCGGAACGAAAUGCCAGUCAUUUCUGUAUCUGUGAAUUCUUAAUGUGCGGAAUAAAACGUUAGCAUGUAACA